rnacentral:rRNA from 1 species
UUAGUGGCGAACGGGUGAGUAACACGUGGGCAAUCUGCCCUUCACUCUGGGACAAGCCCUGGAAACGGGGUCUAAUACCGGAUAACACUCUGUCCCGCAUGGGACGGGGUUAAAAAGCUCCGGCGGUGAAGGAUGAGCCCGCGGCCUAUCAGCUUGUUGGUGGGGUAAUGGCCUACCAAGGCGACGACGGGUAGCCGGCCUGAGAGGGCGACCGGCCACACUGGGACUGAGACACGGCCCAG